rnacentral:rRNA from 1 species
AUUGAACGCUGGCGGCAUGCCUUACACAUGCAAGUCGAACGGCAGCACGGGAGCAAUCCUGGUGGCGAGUGGCGAACGGGUGAGUAAUAUAUCGGAACGUGCCCAGUCGUGGGGAUAACGUAGCGAAAGCUACGCUAAUACCGCAUACUAUCUAUGGAUGAAAGCGGGGGAUCGCAAGACCUCGCGCGAUUGGAGCGGCCGAUAUCAGAUUAGGUAGUUGGUGAGGUAAAGGCUCACCAAGCCGACGAUCUGUAGCUGGUCUGAGAGGACGACCAGCCACACUGGGACUGAGACACGGCCCAGACUCCUACGGAGGCAGCAGUGGGGGAAUUUUGGACAAUGGGCGCAAGCCUGAUCCAGCAAUGCCGCGUGCAGGAUGAAGGCC